UACGUAGGGGGCAAGCGUUGUCCGGAAUCAUUGGGCGUAAAGAGCGUGUAGGCGGCCUGGUAAGUCCGUUGUGAAAGUCCAGGGCUCAACCCUGGAAUGCCGGUGGAAACUGUCAGGCUCGAGUCCGGAAGAGGCGAGUGGAAUUCCUGGUGUAGCGGUGAAAUGCGCAGAUAUCGGGAAGAACACCCGUGGCGAAGGCGGCUCUCUGGGACGGUACUGACGCUGAGACGCGAAAGCGUGGGGAGCGAACAGG
rnacentral:rRNA from 1 species